rnacentral:rRNA from 1 species
CCCUACGGGGGGCAGCAGUGGGGGAUAUUGCACAAUGGGGGAAACCCUGAUGCAGCGGCGCCGCGUGGGUGAAGAAGCGCCUCGGCGCGUAAAGCCCUGUCAGCAGGGAAGAAAAUGACGGUACCUGAAGAAGAAGCCCCGGCUAACUACGUGCCAGCAGCCGCGGUAAUACGUAGGAGGCAAGCGUUAUCCGGAUUUACUGGGUGUAAAGGGGGCGCAGACGGCGAUGCAAGCUAGGAGUGAAAGCCCGGGGCCCAACCCCGGGACUGCUCUUGGAACUGCGUGGCUAGAGUGCAGGAGGGGCG